AGUCAAAACGUUAAUCUUGAAGGAGCAAUAGUUUGUUCAUGAGCUGUCAUGCUCGCUAGGCGAGCAGAAUGGGUCGCCUAGCAAGUCCCAAGAAAAGCCACCAGAAUCACCUACGCUCAGAGGAAUUUCUUGAAUUGUCAUGCUCGGAAGGCGAAGCCCACGUGUUUAAAAAAAAAAGAAAAAAAAAAGAAAAAAGAAAACGAAAAACGAAAAAAAUAAAAUAAUAAUAAUAAUAAUAAAUAAAUAAAUUUUGGACUUUGGCCUCUCACAUUUGAGCCCAAAGGUCCACAAAAAUCAGGUUAUAAAUUCAGAGUUUCAGUGAAACAAAAGGCCAUUCUAUUCCUAUUACCCUGGCAAGGAAAAAGAUA
rnacentral:lncRNA from 1 species